AUCCUUCGGUUCAUGAGCAUGAUGAUUGAGUGUUCAUGCUGUAUGCACGAGAGUGCCUCCCUCAAACCUUGCUACAGUGUGGCACGUUAUCUGUUUGAUG